CACGUAGGGGGCAAGCGUUGUCCGGAUUUAUUGGGCGUAAAGAGCUCGUAGGCGGCUCAGUAAGUCAGGUGUGAAACCUCCAGGCUCAACCUGGAGACGCCACCUGAUACUGCUGUGGCUAGAGUCCGGUAGGGGAGCGUGGAAUUCCUGGUGUAGCGGUGAAAUGCGCAGAUAUCAGGAGGAACACCAGCGGCGAAGGCGGCGCUCUGGGCCGUAACUGACGCUGAGGAGCGAAAGCGUGGGGAGCGAACAGG
rnacentral:rRNA from 1 species